UACAGAGGGUGCGAGCGUUAAUCGGAAUUACUGGGCGUAAAGCGUGCGUAGACGGUAGCGUAAGUCAGAUGUGAAAGCCCCGGGCUCAACCUGGGAAUUGCAUUUGAGACUGCUCUGCUCGGGUGCGGAAGAGGGAAGCGGAAUUUCCGGUGUAGCGGUGAAAUGCGUAGAUAUCGGAAGGAACACCAGUGGCGAAAGCGGCUUCCUGGUCCGACACCGACGUUCAGGCACGAAAGCGUGGGGAGCAAAC
rnacentral:rRNA from 1 species